rnacentral:rRNA from 1 species
CCUACGGGUGGCAGCAGUGAGGAAUAUUGGUCAAUGGCCGGAAGGCUGAACCAGCUAAGCCGCGUGAGGGAGGAAGGCGCAGAGCGUCGCAGACCUCUUUUGACGGGGGACAAAAGGCCGGACUCGUCCGGUUCGGAGGGUACCCGGAGAAAAAGCAUCGGCGAACUCCGUGCCAGCAGCCGCGGUAAUCCGUAGGAUGCGAGCGUUAUCCGGAUUCAUUGGGUUUAAAGGGAGAGUAGACGGUAGGGCAAGUCUGGAGUGAAAGGCGGGGGCUCAACCCCCGGACUGCUCUGGAAACUGCAAGGCUGGAGUGCAGCAGAGGUAAGUGGAAUUCCUAGUGUAGCAGUGAAAUGCGUAGAUAUUAGGAAGAACACCAAUGGCGAAGGCGGCUUACUGGGCUGUAACUGACGUUGAGGCUCGAAAGCGUGGGGAGCAAACAGGAUUAGAUACCCGAGUAGUC